UACAGGGGGUGCAAACGUUGCUCGGAAUCAUUGGGCGUAAAGCGCACGUAGGCGGUUCGUUAUGUCGGAUGUGAAAGCCCUUGGCUUAACCGAGGAAGUGCAUCCGAAACUGGCGAGCUAGAGUACGAAAGAGGAUCGCGGAAUUCCCGGUGUAGAGGUGAAAUUCGUAGAUAUCGGGAGGAACACCAGAGGCGAAGGCGGCCACCUGGACAGACACUGACGCUGAGACGCGAAAGCGUGGGGAGCAAACAGG
rnacentral:rRNA from 1 species